GAUGAAGAACGUAGCGAAAUGCGAUACUUGGUGUGAAUUGCAGAAUCCCGUGAACCAUCGAGUCUUUGAACGCAAGUUGCGCCCGAAGCCAUUAGGCCGAGGGCACGCCUGCCUGGGCGUCACACGUCGUUGCCCCCCCAUCUACUCCUUCGGGAUUGCGGGGGGCGGAUGAUGGCCUCCCGUGCGCCUCGUCGCGCGGUUGGCAUAAAUGCCAAGUCCUCGGCGACGCACGCCACGACAAUCGGUGGUUGCGAAACCUCGGUUGCCCGUCGUGUGCGGUCGUCGCGCAUCGAGGGCUCGAAAAAAUUGCCGGGUUCUGUUUCGGCUUUCAACGCGACCCCAGGUCAGGCGGGGUUACCCGCUGAAUUUAAGCAUAUCAAUAAGCGGAGGA
rnacentral:misc_RNA from 1 species